AUUGAACGCUGGCGGCAGGCCUAACACAUGCAAGUCGAGCGGAUGAGGGAAGCUUGCUUCCCGAUUUAGCGGCGGACGGGUGAGUAAUGCCUAGGAAUCUGCCUAUUAGUGGGGGAUAACGUUCCGAAAGGAACGCUAAUACCGCAUACGUCCUACGGGAGAAAGUGGGGGAUCUUCGGACCUCACGCUAAUGGAUGAGCCUAGGUCGGAUUAGCUAGUUGGUGAGGUAACGGCUCACCAAGGGGACGAUCCGUAGCUGGUCUGAGAGGAUGAUCAGCCACACUGGAACUGAGAAACGGUCCAGACUCCUACGGGAGGCAGCAGUGGGGAAUAUUGGACAAUGGGCGAAAGCCUGAUCCAGCCAUGCCGCGUGUGUGAAGAAGGUCUUCGGAUUGUAAAGCACUUUAAGUUGGGAGGAAGAGUUGUAAGCUAAUAUCUUGCAGCUUUGACGUUACCAACAGAAUAAGCACCGGCUAACUCUGUGCCAGCCGCCGCCGUAAUAC
rnacentral:rRNA from 1 species